rnacentral:rRNA from 1 species
UGGGGAAUUUUGGACAAUGGGCGAAAGCCUGAUCCAGCAAUGCCGCGUGUGUGAAGAAGGCCUUCGGGUUGUAAAGCACUUUUGUCCGGAAAGAAAUCCUUGGCUCUAAUACAGUCGGGGGAUGACGGUACCGGAAGAAUAAGCACCGGCUAACUACGUGCCAGCAGCCGCGGUAAUACGUAGGGUGCAAGCGUUAAUCGGAAUUACUGGGCGUAAAGCGUGCGCAGGCGGUUUGCUAAGACCGAUGUGAAAUCCCCGGGCUCAACCUGGGAACUGCAUUGGUGACUGGCAGGCUAGAGUAUGGCAGAGGGGGGUAGGAAUUCCACGUNUAGCAGUGAAAUGCGUAGAGAUGUGGAGGAAUACCGAUGGCGAAGGCAGCCCCCUGGGCCAAUACUGACGCUCAUGCACGAAAGCGUGGGGAGCAAACAGGAUUAGAUACCCUGGUAGUCCACGCCCUAAAACGAUGU